UAGCCAGACUCCUACGGGAGGCAGCAGUGGGGAAUAUUGCACAAUGGGGGAAACCCUGAUGCAGCGACGCCGCGUGAGCGAUGAAGUCUUUCGGUCUGUAAACUUCUAUCAGCAGGGAAGAGAAUGACGGUACCUGACUAAGAAGCCCCGGCUAACUACGUGCCAGCAGCCGCGGUAAUACGUAGGGGGCAAGCGUUAUCCGGAUUUACUGGGUGUAAAGGGAGCGUAGACGGCAAGGCAAGUCUGGAGUGAAAGCCCGUGGCCCAACCACGGGACUGCUUUGGAAACUGUGUUGCUGGAGUGCAGGAGGGGUAAGCGGAAUUCCUAGUGUAGCGGUGAAAUGCGUAGAUAUUAGGAGGAACACCGGUGGCGAAGGCGGCUUACUGGACUGUAACUGACGUUGAGGCUCGAAGGCGUGGGGAGCAAACAGGAUUAGAUACCCCCGUACA
rnacentral:rRNA from 1 species